rnacentral:rRNA from 1 species
AACGAACGCUGGCGGCAGGCCUAACACAUGCAAGUCGAACGCCCUAGCAAUAGGGAGUGGCAGACGGGUGAGUAACACGUGGGAACGUGCCCUUCGGUUCGGAAUAACUUAGGGAAACUUGAGCUAAUACCGGAUACGUGCGAGAGCAGAAAGAUUUAUCGCCGAAGGAUCGGCCCGCGUCCGAUUAGCUAGUUGGUGAGGUAAUGGCUCACCAAGGCGACGGUCGGUAGCUGGUCUGAGAGGAUGACCAGCCACACUGGGACUGAGACACGGCCCAGACUCCUACGGGAGGCAGCAGUGGGGAAUAUUGGACAAUGGGCGCAAGCCUGAUCCAGCCAUGCCGCGUGAGUGAUGAAGGCCCUAGGGUUGUAAAGCUCUUUCGCCAGGGACGAUAUUGACGGUACCUGGAUAAGAAGCCCCGGCUAACUUCGUGCCAGCAGCCGCGGUAA